rnacentral:rRNA from 1 species
AUUGAACGCUGGCGGCAUGCCUUACACAUGCAAGUCGAACGGCAGCGGGCCCUUCGGGGUGCCGGCGAGUGGCGAACGGGUGAGUAAUGCAUCGGAACGUACCCGGGAGAGGGGGAUAACCGGCCGAAAGGCUGGCUAAUACCGCAUGAACUCGGAAGAGCAAAGCGGGGGACCUUCGGGCCUCGCGCUCUCGGAGCGGCCGAUGUCCGAUUAGGCUAGUUGGUGGGGUAAAGGCCCACCAAGGCGACGAUCGGUAGCGGGUCUGAGAGGACGAUGCGCCACACUGGGACUGAGACACGGCCCAGACUCCUACGGGAGGCAGCAGUGGGGAAUCUUGGACAAUGGGCGCAAGCCUGACCCAGCAAUGCCGCGUGGGUGAAGAAGGCCUUCGGGUUGUAAAGCCCUUUCGGCGGGGAAGAAAUCGGUCAGGCGAAUAGUCUGGCCGGAUGACGGUACCCGCAGAAGAAGCACCGGCUAACUACGUG